rnacentral:lncRNA from 1 species
GUUAAAUUGGUUUCGGUGUCUUCCCCCACACCCUUCUCCUUCCAUACCCCACGGAGAGUAGGUGCCUCCUUUCCAUCGAGGGUUCUGUGCCAAUCCACCUCACCACCGGGCUGCAGGCCAUGGGUGCUAUAAGGGCUGGGGGAGAGAGGGAGGACAGGGAGAGAGGGGGCCAGAAUUGACUAACCAUUUUGCUUCCUCCCGUGUCUGGCGGCCUAGUGUGUCUGGCUGCAGAGGGAAGUCGAGGACCUUAGAAACCAACUAGUGGCCAUGCAGUACCUCCUUGACAAGUCCCAGCACUUUUGAAGAUGGAGCCAGCGUCUUCCUGCAAGAUGUGCAGUUGGUACCUCUGGAGCCCCUGAGCUGCAGCCGAGCUGGUUCCCUCCGAAUCCUCUUCAGCCAAGGCUUCCUCUCUUCCUCUGCGUUGCCCUCUUCCCGCCGCAGUUCAAAGCAGUUUCAAAUAAAGUCAUUCUCAUAUUCUGUGGUCUGUGGUCUACCCUCUCUGCGAUUGUU